GAUGAAGAACGUAGCGAAAUGCGAUAAGUAAUGUGAAUUGCAGAAUUCAGUGAAUCAUCGAAUCUUUGAACGCACAUUGCGCCCCUUGGUAUUCCGAGGGGCAUGCCUGUUCGAGCGUCAUUAUAACCCCUCAAGCUCAGCUUGGUGUUGGGGCCUGCUGCACUGGCAGCCCUUAAAAUCAGUGGCGGCGCCAUCUGGCUCUAAGCGUAGUAAUUCUUCUCGCUAUGGAGUCCUNGUGGAUGCUUGCCAUCAACCCCCAAUUUUUCUAUGGUUGACCUCGGAUCAGGUAGGGAUACCCGCUGAACUUAAGCAUAUCAAUAAGCGGAGGA
rnacentral:misc_RNA from 1 species